rnacentral:rRNA from 1 species
CCUACGGUGGGCAGCAGUGAGGAAUAUUGGUCAAUGGCCGGGAGGCUGAACCAGCCAAGUCGCGUGAGGGAAGACGGCCCUACGGGUUGUAAACCUCUUUUGUCAGGGAGCAAGGUGCAGGUCGGGACCUGCUGUGAGAGUACCUGAAGAAAAAGCAUCGGCUAACUCCGUGCCAGCAGCCGCGGUAAUACGGAGGGUGCGAGCGUUAAUCGGAAUUACUGGGCGUAAAGCGCUCGUAGGCGGUAUGUCAAGUCAAGGGUGAAAUCCCCGCGCUCAACGUGGGAACUGCCUUUGAAACUGGCAAACUGGAGUGUGUGAGAGGAUAGUGGAAUUCCAGGUGUAGGAGUGAAAUCCGUAGAUAUCUGGAGGAACAUCAGUGGCGAAGGCGACUAUCUGGCACAUAACUGACGCUGAGGAGCGAAAGCGUGGGUAGCAAACAGGAUUAGAUACCCCAGUAGUC